rnacentral:rRNA from 1 species
UACGUAGGGUGCGAGCGUUAAUCGGAAUUACUGGGCGUAAAGCGUGCGCAGGCGGUUCGUUGUGUCCGAUGUGAAAGCCCCGAGCUCAACUUGGGAAUGGCAUUGGAAACUGGCGGGCUGGAGUGCGGUAGGGGAGAUUGGAAUUCCUGGUGUAGCGGUGGAAUGCGCAGAUAUCAGGAGGAACACCAAUGGCGAAGGCAGAUCUCUGGGCCGUAACUGACGCUGAGGAGCGAAAGCAUGGGGAGCGAACAGG